AUGGCUCAUUUAUUUGCUGAGUGGGACUGGAGGCCCAUAGCCGCAGAAGAUCCUGGCCCCACAGCAGCAGAGAGUAAGCUCAGAAUGCUGUCAGGUCUCUCCUGCUGCCUCUCACCACGAUGAUGUAGUGGAAAAAUGGUCAACAAAGCUGUUUCCUACUGUGUCCUAAAUGCCCAUCAUGGGAAGUCCCAGGAACAAGAAGAUCAUGGGUGAGGCAGCUGCUCAGAAACAAAUGUCUUUCAACAAUUACCCCCAGGCACGGGUGAUACAUCCUCUUCGCAGACUGCAGAAAAACAACAGAUUUGUGAUUUAACUAGGAGUUUUCUGGGAUCAAACAGUGGCUUCGUUUACAGAAUUUUAGACUCUAAUUCUUCAGCACCGGAGACCCCUAGAGUCAGCCCCUUAGGAAUCCAGACUUUUUCUUCUUGCUGGACCCAAGGCCAUGAAGAAAAAUGUGUGUUGGACCCUGAAGUUCAGCUAACUCAUGACAAGGAAGAAAAUGGAAGCAGGAAGCCGGAAGGCCACUAUCAG